rnacentral:snRNA from 1 species
AUACUUACCCUGGCAGGGGAGGUACCCAUGAUCACGAAAGGUGGUUUUCCCAGGGUGAGGCUCACCCCAUUGCACUCCAAAAUGUGCUGACCCCUGCGAUUUCCCAAAUGUGAGAGACUCGACUGCAUAAAUUUGUGGCAGUGGGAGACUGCAUUUGCGCUCUCCCC